CAGCAGCCGCGGUAAUACAGAGGAUGCAAGCGUUAUCCGGAAUGAUUGGGCGUAAAGCGUCUGUAGGUGGCUUUUCAAGUCCGCCGUCAAAUCCCAGGGCUCAACCCUGGACAGGCGGUGGAAACUACCAAGCUGGAGUACGGUAGGGGCAGAGGGAAUUUCCGGUGGAGCGGUGAAAUGCGUAGAUAUUGGAAGGAACACCGAUGGCGAAGGCAGCUUUCUGGGUCGAUACUGACGCUCAUGUGCGAAAGCGUGGGGAGCAAACAGGAUUAGAUACCCCCGUAGUCCCUGUCUCUUAUAC
rnacentral:rRNA from 1 species